UAAGGAAACUAAACUGGAUUAAGUGCUAUCAUCUUGGAGGUGCAAAGGCAAACAAGGAGAAAGAAGUGAUUGAAGAGCACUUCAGAAAGCUUGGUACAUUCAAAUCAGCAGGGCUUGAUUACUCGCAUCCCAGGACACUUAAGGAAUUGGCAAAUAUAAUUGCAAGACCACCAGCCUUUAUUUUAGAAAAUGAAGGUUGGACAGAAGAAGGUCCUGACAAGUAAAAUCAGCAGAUGGAGUACCUGUUUUUUAAAAGAGGGAAAAGGACAGCUGUAGUAAUUAUAGACUAUUCAGUUUAUCUUGGAUACCUGGGAAGAUACAAGAGCAAAUCAUCAAACAAUCAAUUUGCAACCACCUAGAAGAGUACAAGCUACUGGGUCGUAAUCAACGUGAUUUUGUGAAGUGCAAAUUAUGCCACACCAAUUUAAUUUUAUCUAUGAUAGAGUGAUGAGCCUGGCAGAAGAGGGGAAAGCAAUAUCUACAACUGGACUUCAAUAAGGUUUUUAAUUUUCAUUUUUUUAUUUAAAAUAUUCCAUUUCCUGGCUUUUUCAGCAUCAAUCUUCUGAGAGGAUGCUACUUGAACAGCAGUUGGAAUAUUGAUCUC
rnacentral:lncRNA from 1 species